UACGAAGGGAGCUAGCGUUGUUCGGAAUCACUGGGCGUAAAGCGCACGUAGGCGGCUUUCUAAGUCGGGGGUGAAAUCCUGGAGCUCAACUCCAGAACUGCCUUCGAUACUGGAGAGCUUGAGUCCGGGAGAGGUGAGUGGAACUGCGAGUGUAGAGGUGAAAUUCGUAGAUAUUCGCAAGAACACCAGUGGCGAAGGCGGCUCACUGGCCCGAUACUGACGCUGAGGUGCGAAAGCGUGGGGAGCAAACAGG
rnacentral:rRNA from 1 species